UUAAGUUCAGCGGGUAUUCCUACCUGAUCCGAGGUCAACCACAAAAAAAUUGGGGGGUUUAGCGGCUGAGAGCAGCGGCACCUGACAAAAGCGAGAUAAAGAUUUACUACGCUCAGAGGAUACCACAGAUCCGCCGUUGGAUUUGAGGAACUGUCCUUGCGGACAGAUUCCCAACACUAAGCUAGGCUUAAGGGUUGAAA
rnacentral:misc_RNA from 1 species